GUUAGAUUGUCUUUGGUGGUCAAUCCUUACAUGGAUAACUGUGGUAAUUCUAGAGCUAAUACAUGCACCAAAGCCCGACUUCUCGGAAGGGUUGUGUUUAUUAGUUACAGAACCAACCCAGGCUUGCCUGGUCUUGUGGUGAUUCAUAAUAACCGAACGAAUCGCAUAGCAUCCGCUGGCGAUAUACCAUAUCACUUUCUGACCUAUC
rnacentral:rRNA from 1 species